rnacentral:rRNA from 1 species
AGCAGCCGCGGUAAUUCCAGCUCCAAUAGCGUAUAUUAAAGUUGUUGCAGUUAAAAAGCUCGUAGUUGAAUUUCGGGAUCAUCAGGUUGGUCGUGCCUCUGGUAUGUACUUGCUUCGGUGGUCCCUCCUUCUUGAAGAACCGUAAUGCCAUUAAUUUGGUGUUGCGGGGAAACAGGACUGUUACUUUGAAAAAAUUAGAGUGUUUAAAGCAGGCAAUCGCUUGAAUACAUUAGCAUGGAAUAAUGAAAUAGGACGUUCGAUCCUAUUUUGUUGGUUUCUAGGAUUGACGUAAUGAUUAAUAGGGAUAGUUGGGGGCAUUAGUAUUCAAUUGUCAGAGGUGAAAUUCUUGGAUUUAUUGAAGACUAACUACUGCGAAAGCAUUUGCCAAGGAUGUUUUCAUUAAUCAAGAACGAAAGUUAGGGGAUCGAAGACGAUCAGAUACCGUCGUAGUCUUAACCAUAAACUAUGCCGACUAGGGAUCGGAUGAUGUUAAUUUUUAAUGACUCAUUCGCGCCUUACG